GUAAUCAUAACCGUUUCCAUAGAAAAGCCUCCUAAACUGGAUGUGUCACAGCUCUGAGCAGGGACAGUUACAGUGGGGAGGCUGAUGUUGGAUCCAGACUCAGCUGGAGCAGGACCAUCCUGGAGAGCAGAAAGAAGGUGAGGCACAGGAAAUCUACCCAAGUAAACUUUCAUAAGUGUCAUUCAAACAAUGAAGAUGGAGAACUGAUUCAAACAAGAGCAGAAAACUGGGAAUAUUGGUGCUGGUUCAAGGUUGAGAGGCUGCAGGUAGUACAGAAUUUGCUCAGAAUUCAGAGGCAACACAAAUCGAAUGUGAAUCUUACUUCUGUCACCUGUGAGCUGAGUAAUCUUGAGCAGAACAGACCUUCACUGGACCCCAAUCUCUUUACCUGAGAAAUGGAAAUAAGAGUAAUGAUCUUGCUGGAGCCCUUUGUCAAGCUGCGUGGACCCAUGCCCCCUCACUCUCCAGCACCAUGCAGACCAGUACCUGUAAGAUGGCAGCUCAGAAGUAGGCAGCCAGCCGCCCCCAAGCAAGCAGCACCACAGCGUCAUGCAUACCUGCCCAACCUGCAUGGUUGUUUAUGCUCCACCCUUAAACUUCCCCAUGGCAGAUCCUGGAAACGAGACAGUGGACCAGAAGAGGGGACAUGACAUCCAUGUUGUGGGGAGUCAGGGCAGGCCUCCAAAGCAAGUCUCCUGCAGCCUGGGUGGGGGUGGGACAUUCAUCAAAAUCCAAAUAGUCCACACGGCUUCCAUCAUAACAAGCAAUCUCUGGAUGUAACACUUGAUUCUCAGAGGGAAAAAAGUAAACAAAUCACCCAGCUGCAAAACUAUACUUUUUAACAAAUUAUUAAGUAAACAAUUUGGAAGAGUUCUGCCAACCAUUCACUGGGAAAAAUGAAAAGGACUAGUAGGUUCCAGAUUUUUUUCCUUUUUAACAGCAGAGGACUCUUCUGUUUGUUUGUGUUAUGAAGAUGUAAUCGAGCUAGGUAUGACCAGAGCACAGGCUGUCGCUCUGUUUCUCUUUUUCUGGGUUUGAGGCCUUUACUCUGUGUCACGGCUAUUUCAUAUUUCUCGGCUUUAACUGAUGACAAAUGACCGAUCAAAACAACAUGCGCGUACGCAGACAAAACAUCAGAUGGGACUCAGCGGCUUUAAGGAGGACAACUGUCUAGAGGUCCAAAAAUAUAUCCCCUGUUUGUACAGGGCUUAGGAAGGGUUGGGAGUAGGACUUAGCUCAUGCAAAGCAAAAGCACUAAAAGUUGAUAGAUAGGGAGACCUGGGUGGCUCCAUGGUUGAGCGUCUGUCUUCAGCUUAGGUUGCGAUCCUGGGAUCCCGGGAUCGAGUCCCGCGUCAGAUUCCCUGCAUGGAGCCUGCUUCUCCCUCUGCCUAUGUCUCUGCCUCUCUCUCUGCAUCUAUCAUGA